AGAGUUUGAUCAUGGCUCAGAUUGAACGCUGGCGGAAUGCUUUACACAUGCAAGUCGAACGGGCUUAAGGGGCUUGCUCCUUAAGUUAGUGGCGAACGGGUGAGUAAUAUAUCGGAACGUGUCCAAUAAUGGGGGAUAACUAACCGAAAGGUUAGCUAAUACCGCAUACGCCCUACGGGGGAAAGCAGGGGAUCUUCGGACCUUGCGUUAAUGGAGCGGCCGAUAUCUGAUUAGCUAGUUGGUGGGGUAAAGGCCCACCAAGGCGACGAUCAGUAGCUGGUCUGAGAGGACGACCAGCCACACUGGAACUGAGACACGGUCCAGACUCCUACGGGAGGCAGCAGUGGGGAAUUUUGGACAAUGGGCGAAAGCCUGAUCCAGCCGUUCCGCGUGAGUGAAGAAGGCCUUCGGGUUGUAAAGCUCUUUCGCAAGGAAAGAAAACUUAUCCUCGAAUAAAGGAUGAGGUUGACGGUACCUUGAUAAGAAGCACCGGCUAACUACGUGCCAGCAGCCGCGGUAAUACGUAGGGUGCGAGCGUUAAUCGGAAUUACUGGGCGUAAAGCGUGCGCAGGCGGUUUGUAAGUCAGAUGUGAAUCCCGGCUCACCUGGAACUGCGUUGAACUACAAGCUAA
rnacentral:rRNA from 1 species